GGUUAAGUCCGCGUAACGAGCGCAACCCUCGUCGUAUGUUAUAUGUGUCAUACGAGACUGCCGGUAAAAAGCCGGAGGAAGGUGAGGAUGAUGUCAAGUCAGCAUGACCUUUAUAUCCAGGGCUACACACACGCUACAAUGGUCUGUACAAUGGGUAGCCAAGCCGCGAGGCGGAGCCAAUCCUGAAAGCAGGCCUCAGUUCAGAUUGCAGUCUGCAACUCGACUGCAUGAAGCCGGAGUUGCUAGUAACCGCAGGUCAGCAAUACUGCGGUGAAUACGUUCCCGGGUCUU
rnacentral:rRNA from 1 species